rnacentral:rRNA from 1 species
AGAGUUUGAUCCUGGCUCAGGACGAACGCUGGCGGCGUGCUUAACACAUGCAAGUCGAACGGAAAGGCCCUUCGGGGUACUCGAGUGGCGAACGGGUGAGUAACACGUGGGUGAUCUGCCCUGCACUUUGGGAUAAGCCUGGGAAACUGGGUCUAAUACCGAAUAGGACCGCGCUCUUCAUGGGGUGUGGUGGAAAGCUUUUGCGGUGUGGGAUGGGCCCGCGGCCUAUCAGCUUGUUGGUGGGGUAAUGGCCUACCAAGGCGACGACGGGUAGCCGGCCUGAGAGGGUGACCGGCCACACUGGGACUGAGAUACGGCCCAGACUCCUACGGGAGGCAGCAGUGGGGAAUAUUGCACAAUGGGCGCAAGCCUGAUGCAGCGACGCCGCGUGAGGGAUGACGGCCUUCGGGUUGUAAACCUCUUUCAAUAGGGACGAAGCGCAAGUGACGGUACCUAUAGAAGAAGGACCGGCCAACUACGUGCCAGCAGCCGCGGUAAUACGUAGGGUCCGAGCGUCGUCCGGAAUUACUGGGCGUAAAGAGCUCGUAGGUGGUUUGUCGCGUUGUUCGUGAAAACUCACAGCUUAACUGUGGGCGUGCGGGCGAUACGGGCAGACUAGAGUACUGCAGGGGAGGCUGGAAUUCCUGGUGUAGCGGUGGAAUGCGCAGAUAUCAGGAGGAACACCGGUGGCGAAGGCGGGUCUCUGGGCAGUAACUGACGCUGAGGAGCGAAAGCGUGGGUAGCGAACAGGAUUAGAUACCCUGGUAGUCCAA